AGAAACCUCACAAAAAUGGAAACUAUUUUCUAAGUUACUGUGUCCUUUUCCUAAAACAUUUACUCUCUCCACAUGAAAAACAUAUUAAAAUCUGCUGCCAUGCUUGGGAAGGAUUCUGACCUAGCCACCGUCCCUCCGUGUCAUAAGAGUCAUCGAUAUGGCACUCCUUCCAUGCAUGAAAUUAUGUCAGAAAUUACAAAAGAGCCCUACUAAAGAUGAUUUUCAUUUCAUAUACUAAUUGCCCAGGAACAGCAAGGUAAAAAGAACGUGUUGUACCAGUGGGAAUUUAAGGAGCACCACUGAGCAAGCUGCAUGUCCGGUAACAGUUCACACAAGCACUCCGACCUCCCUGACACUACAGAGCCUUUCUCAAUUUCCGCAAGUUUCCGAGAAGCAGCACAAGGAGUCAUCUCCGUCCGCCUGAUGAUAUUCACCUCGGUGACAUCUCACUGAGGGGAUAGCUCACUGGGAUUUGCGCACCUGAAACUGCCCCCGGGAGGCUUGUGAAAACCCUCAGCCCAGCGUACCUCCAGGACCCAGAGGAGUAAUUCCACUCCAAGCGCUGCCUAACGAAGGGCUGCUGCUGCCAGUGGGAAGGUGCUUGGGUGCCAGAGGGAUGCGAUUCAGCUCAGCCCCCUGAGGCCAGGCAGCAAAAUGACCCUACUGAGAUCUGUGACAGCAUUUGCCAGGGGAUUCAAGCCUCCACCUCCAGUGCACAGAAUAAAAUUGUCCGUGCAGCCACGGCAGAGCGUUCUCAGAACAGUUAUUCCUGCAUCGGGUGGGUUCAAACAAUCCUCGGCAACAGCCAAAAGCUUUGCUCAAAAAAGGAAGCAGAACACUUGACAAGAGACAAACUACGCUGUUGACUCAAACUUCAGCAGACAUUCCACAAGCCGCUGCUUUAUGUGAGGCAGAGACCAGCAGCUCUGUACAAUCAUCAUUCAUUUCGGGAAGUUCUUCUGCAAAGCCAAGAUUAUAACAGUUCAAAGAAAAUAACUUCGCAACUGUCAAAAGGCAAGAGCACGCUCAUCUUUUGAAGAAGUCCUAUAACAAUGACUGUCAUUGCGAGGAGCAAAAUUAUUUAAGAGCUUCAUAGUCAGAGAAGGGGUGAUGUUGUGGUUGUUAAAGCACAAGCGCUUAACCAAGAUGGUUUGGGUCUUUUUUGUUUGUUUUAAGUUUUGCCACUGUCACCUGGGGGACUUUGGGCCAACCCCUUGCCCUUCUUCAUUUCUGCCCCACUCUACACCUCUCUUGCUUUGAGGUAGCCUUUUUUUCCCCCCACUCAGUUGAUUCUGGCUGUCAAGACCUGGGUGCCAGCAGCAGGACAGCAGUGGCAGGGUGAAGCUGGAGUGACGGGAAUGCCCUGGGGAGUAAGGCACUGCCAACCUGGAGCACCACCUCCAGCAUUCCUGUGCUGUCCUGCACCUGGUGCACGAAGCUGGAUCCCCUCGGUAUUAACAAAGUCCAAACGAAGCUGCACCUGUAUUCCAAAGUCUUAAAUCUUACUGAAGAAUACGUUGUUCUCCAACAACGCCUGAAUUGGUCAGUAAAGCAUAUUCCUGGGUGACGCCAAUUGUCACAGAUUCCAGUUGUGCACUGAGAUUCAGCAAGCAAGUUCAGUGCAGCAAUGACAAUAAACCCCACCUUAAGAUCA
rnacentral:lncRNA from 1 species